rnacentral:rRNA from 12 species
AGGAGGCAUACCCGGGGAACUGAAACAUCUAAGUACCCGGAGGAAGAGAAAACAAUAGUGAUUCCCUAAGUAGUGGCGAGCGAACGCGGAUUAGCCCAAACCAUAACUGUUACGGCAGUUGUGGGGUUGUAGGACUACGAUAUGGACUAUAUAAUUGAAUUAGAAUCAACUGGAAAGUUGAGCCGAAGAGGGUGAAAGCCCCGUAUAAGUAAGCUUAUAUUACCUAGUAGUAUCCUGAGUAGGGCGGAGCAGGUGAAACUCCGUUUGAAUCUGCCGGCACCAUCCGGUAAGGCUAAAUACUCCUGAGAGACCGAUAGUGAACUAGUACCGUGAGGGAAAGGUGAAAAGUACUCCGAACAGGAGAGUGAAA